rnacentral:lncRNA from 1 species
AUCUCACACUCCCUCAACUCCUUCUCAUACUCCAACUCCUUCGACUCCAUCUCACACACCAACUCCAUCACACACUAGUCCUCCUUGCCACUGUGGAACUCCACCUUCACACCCUUCCACACCUUCACGGCCUUCAAGGCCUUCACACCCAUCCAGGCCUUCACGCCCUUCCACGCCUUCAAAUCCUCCUUCUGGUGGAUACUACUCAUCUCCUCCACCAAGUACUCCUGUCGUUGUGACGCCACCAACACCCAUUGUUGACCCAGGCACACCCAGUACUGGAGGAACCCCUCCUUCUUCUGGUGGAUAUUACUCAUCUCCUCCACCAAGUACUCCAGUCGUUGAGACUCCACCAACACCUAUUGUUGACCCAGGCACACCCAUCGUUGGAGAAACCCCACCAACUCCUUCUUCUGGUGGAUAUUACUCAUCUCCUCCACCAAGUACUCCAGUCAUUGAGACUCCACCAACACCCAUUGUUGACCCAGGCACACCCAUCAUUGGAGGAACCCCACCAACUCCUUUCAUUGACCCUGGCACUCCUGGAACCCCCUUCCUUCCUGCUCCUUUUCCACCAAUCACUGGAACAUGCGAGUA